UGAAUCGCGUAUAACGGGAUCUACCUGUAUUAUACUCUAUAAUAAAGUGCAUUCAUAUAUGAAAACUUUUUACAUAUAAAAUUAAACAAGUUUAUUUUCUUUAAUAUUAUCUCCUUUUAAAAUUAUGGAAUAUUUUUUAUAAAUAAUUGCUACUCUAAAGAAAUAUGUAUGCAUUAAAAUUAAGAAAAGCAAAAAACUUCAAUAGAUGAAAAAAUUAUUCAAUUUAUUAUGUAACUUUCAGUUUUUUAGCAAUUGAGCCUGAUUCAUAACUACAUUUUUGUUUUAUUUUGGCCUUUUCAUGAUUUUCAAUAGCAUAUCCUCUUAUUAUAAUGAAGUGAUUGAUUAUUUUUUCUUCAAUUUUAUAGCAAUUUUGUGUAUAACAUACUGUUUCUGCCAAUAUUCUUUCAGUGAAACUUUUGUCCAAGUUUCCUUUAGUUUUGAAAUUUUCCUCCUCAGAUUUAAAAGAGAUUUUACUGUUUGUCUGCCACAAGAGUGGCUCCCGCCAGGAUGUCUAGUUAGUGGCGGUCGCUAUUGCAACAAGACCUGUC
rnacentral:lncRNA from 1 species